GCAUGUCUCAGUAUAAGUUUUAACAUAACGAAACUGCGAAUGGCUCAUUAAAACAGUUAUAGUUUACUUGAUAGUCAAUCGUUAUACGGAUAACUGCGGUAAUUCUGGAGCUAAUACGUGCACAAAGACCUGACUUCUAGGAAAGGUCGUGUUUAUUAGAUACAGAACCAAUCCACUUUGUGGUUUUUGGAUGAUUCAUAAUAAAGGAACGGAGCGCAUGACUUGUGUCGGCGCUGUUUCAUUCAAGUUUCUGACCUAUCAGCUUCCGACGGUAGGGUAUUGGCCUACCGUGGCAUUGACGGGUAACGGAGAAUUAGGGUUCGAUUCCGGAGAGGGAGCCUUAAAAACGGCUACCACAUCUAAGGAAGGCAGCAGGCGCGCAAAUUACCCAAUCCUGAUACAGGGAGGUAGUGACAAGAAAUAACACAGAGAGUGCUUUUUGCAUUUCUCUUUGGAAUGAGUAGAAUUUAAAUCUCUUUUCGACUAUCAAUUGGAGGGCAAGUCUGGUGCCAGCAGCCGCGGUAAUUCCAGCUCCAAUAGCGUAUAUUAAAGUUGUUGCGGUUAAAAAGCUCGUAGUUGGAUUUCUGUCGAGAACGCGCGGUCCACGCUUUGCGUGAGUAUCUGUGUCGGUCUUGGCAUCCUCUGGAGGAUCGUUUCUGCGCUUGAUUGCGUGGAGCGGAACUUCAGACUUUUACUUUGAGGAAAUUAGAGUGUUCACGGCAGGCAAACGCCUUGAAUACAUUAGCAUGGAAUAAUAACAUAGGACCUCGGUUCUAUUUUGUUGGUUUCUAGAGCUGAGGUAAUGAUUAAUAGGGAUAAUUGGGGGCAUUCGUAUUAACACGUCAGAGGUGGAAUUCUUGGAUUGUGUUACGACGAACUACUGCGAAAGCAUUUGCCAAGGAUGUUUUCAUUGAUCAAGAAC
rnacentral:rRNA from 1 species